rnacentral:lncRNA from 1 species
GACAACCGUAACUCCGAUUGAGGUAAAUCCAACGCCCACGUCUUCGUAUCGUCGAGCCCGUUCUGUUCCCAUCAUUUUCACUAUGGUUUGACAUAUUUAAAAUAGCCAUUUUUGCCUUGUCCGUAAACAGCCCCCUCCGAGAGAGAAUUGUUUCCGGCAAAUUUUUCCGCGGUCGUUUCUUACUUCUUCCCGGAGUAUUUGUCGACCCCUAGGCAAGCCAACCUCUUAUAAGUGAGCCCCUAACUUGCAUGUUGACUUUGCUUGCACCUUGUGUGUGUGUAGUUGUAGUUGUUUCUUCUCGUUUUCAUUGCAGUUAUUCCGUUAUGCUUACUAUGCAUGCUUGUGUGCUAUCUUUUGCUAUGAUAGUUAGAAUGUUGUUAUUGAUAAUGCCAUGCCACUACUCUACUUUAUUUUCAUGUCAUUGUUAUAAAAUGCUAUGAUGAUGGUAAUACACCGUUGGUAUGCUAGUACUUAGUACUGUCAUGUGCUAUAGUUGUUCACCUGAGAAGUUCAGUAUUUUAUUAAAGCAUUUGUAUCAUGUAUGCUCAUUGUUGCAUUUGUGUUCAUGAUGAUGGAGAAGGAAAUAAAAUGACUUAAUGAUAACAAACCUCCUCCAUCAUCGAUAGGGUCGAGUCAUAGUGCCGCCGAAUCGAACUUUUCCAGUGCAACCACAUUUGCCGGUAUGGGACGGCCCUAAUGCGGUCUAUUGUUGUGCCUCUCGCCGGUGCCUCCAAUGAGGGAAGGCUAUGGGCGCGCGCUACCCUGAUCAGGUAGGCGUACAUAAGCCUUGUGUGCCCGUAGUUGGAUUUUGCGCGCUUUUGUCCCCGUGUGGGAUCGUUUAUGUUUUGUCCACGAUGGUGGUUUGAGGUGUCUUGAGGUAGACACGGGGCCACCCAUGACUUAGACCAGAGAGGAGUGAGUCGGAGUGGCCGGGAGAGUGUCAUGGCAGUAGAUCGGUUUUGUCAAAACACCGUUGGUCCACCCGAAUGGGAUGACGAGGCCAUGGGUUCUGUGGUGUUGGUCCAGUGCGCUACCUCUGCAGAGUGUAUUUAAACUAUCGAUAGCCGCGUCCUCGGUCAUGGGCAUAAGUUCGUAGUAGGGUACACUAUUGGGUCUUGGUCGAAAUGGAGGAUAAACCGGAAAUAAUUAAGCUGAUUCAUGUGGUUGUGAUUGCCGUAAGGAUCACUUGCCAUUUAUUGGAUGGGUUGUGAUCGCCGUAAGGAUCACGAGCCAUUUAUUGGUCGGGUUGUGAUCGCCGUAAGGAUCACGAGUUUGUCUCUGUUUGUGAUCAGGAAAUGAGGUGAUCACCGUUGGUAAGAGAGUCUGAGGGACUCAGUGCACAAGUUCGGUGGCAUUUCAUGAGUAAUAUGUUUGCAUUUAAAGAACCAUGGUAGAACAUGAGAUGGUUGCAUAUACUUAACAUGCUAUGUCUGCAUUUGAUAUGAUUGGUAGUUUAUUUUCAGCAUAGUUUCAUGAUGUCAUGCCAUGCGUUGAUUGAUAUGAUUGAGAUGAUAUGCUAUGUUUUGCUGUUGCCAUGUUAGAAGUAAAUUUGCUUUGCCAUGUUGUUGCCAUGCUAGUAGAUAUCAUGAUGUUAGUUUGAUUUCUGUCUUGGGUUGAUAUCAUGCCAUGCUUAGUUUCUGAUAUGAGAUAGAUUGUUGCAUAUGCUUGGUUCCUGCUUUAUCUUCUGCUUGUUUGGAUGCUACGUAUUUGUUUGUCUUGCAAGUACAUUCAAUGUACUAACCUGGCGUGUCAUGCCAGUUUUGUAGGUCGUGCCCGUAUUGUUCAUUGUUCCGUCGUGCUAGGCCGUAAUCUUGCCAGUCCUGUGAGUUGUGGAGCCCAGCCAGAGUGAUAUGCUGCCAAGACUUCCGCCGCCAUUUAAAUAGACUUCCGCUACCAUGUAAAUAGCCUUAGGGCUAUGCCAGAAGAUUAUAUUCAUCACUGAUGUAAUCAUAUACACAUGUAAUUUAUGAAUAUUCUUGUACCUGGAAUGCUGUAUCAUGGACCUGUCGUGCGUCAGGUGUUAUCCUGCGCUGACGUUCGAAGGCCCCCUGCUCCAUGCGGAUCGGGGUGCCACAGAUGUAUUCCACUGUCAUAUAUGAAUAUGGUUUACAAAUGCCGAUACUCAAAUUCAGAAGCUAGAAUCCAGUUUAAG